UGAGCCACGAAGCCCCUUCCACAAGUUCUUAGGAAGCCAGAUAAGACUAGCAACACAAAAGCUGUUAGGAGGAAGGGUGUUUUAAAGACACAAGCCAUGUUUUGUGCUUCCUCACCUCCCAGAAGGAUUUUCCCUGGAUGAUCCACUAACACACCCUUUCUGAGAUGUUUUCUUAAGGGCCUCCAUUGUCUUCAGCAUCCUCUCAUCUCUUUCCUGUCCCUUUUCCCAGCUGUUGUCACUUCUCCCUCCCAAAGCUCCCAGAUGCCUAGAGAAAACCUUCCAAUUGUGUUCUCCUGGAGAAAGGCCCAAGCUCUGGAACUUUUUUCCGUUUACUCCACUCUCCCUCAGGCUUCAGUUAUCUGCCCAGGGGUUUGGCUGAAAAGAAAGCACGCCUACAUCUGCCUGGCAGCCAUCUGGGCCUAUGCUUCCUUCUGGACCACCAUGCCCUUGAUCAUUGCCAAGGUUAAGUCCUCUUCCAAAGAAGUAGCUCAUUUCGACAGUCGGAUCCAUAGCAGCCACGUGCUGGAAAUGAAACUGACAAA
rnacentral:sRNA from 1 species